GACGAACGCUGGCGGCGUGCCUAAUACAUGCAAGUAGAACGCUGAAGGAGGAGCUUGCUUCUCUGGAUGAGUUGCGAACGGGUGAGUAACGCGUAGGUAACCUGCCUGGUAGCGGGGGAUAACUAUUGGAAACGAUAGCUAAUACCGCAUAAGAGUAGAUGUUGCAUGACAUUUGCUUAAAAGGUGCAAUUUCCUCACUACCAGAUGGACCUGCGUUGUAUUAGCUAGUUGGUGGGGUAACGGCUCACCAAGGCGACGAUACAUAGCCGACCUGAGAGGGUGAUCGGCCACACUGGGACUGAGACACGGCCCAGACUCCUACGGGAGGCAGCAGUAGGGGAUCUUCGGCAAUGGACGGAAGUCUGACCGAGCAACGCCGCGUGAGUGAAGAAGGUUUUCGGAUCGUAAAGCUCUGUUGUAAGAGAAGAACGAGUGUGAGAGUGGAAAGUUCACACUGUGACGGUAUCUUACCAGAAAGGGACGGCUAACUACGUG
rnacentral:rRNA from 1 species